rnacentral:rRNA from 1 species
UUCGCAAUGCCCGAAAGGGUGACGAAGCGACGCCGCGUGUGGGAAGAAGGCCUUCGGGUUGUAAACCACUGUCGGGAGUUAAGAAAUGUAGUGAUGUUAAUAGCAUCGCUACUUGACUAAGGCUCCGGAGGAAGCCACGGCUAACUCUGUGCCAGCAGCCGCGGUAAUACAGAGGUGGCAAGCGUUGUUCGGAAUUAUUGGGCGUAAAGAGCACGUAGGCGGCCGUGUAAGUCGGUUGUGAAAGCCUUCCGCUCAACGGGAGAACGGCAUCCGAUACUGCAUGGCUCGAGUGCGGAAGGGGAGAGUGGAACUUCUGGUGGAGCGGUGAAAUGCGUAGAUAUCAGAAGGAACACCGGCGGCGAAGGCGACUCUCUGGUCCGUAACUGACGCUGAGUGUGCGAAAGCUAGGGGAGCAAACGGGAUUAGAUACCCCGGUAGUCCUAGCCGUAAACGAUGGGCACUAAGUAGAGGGGUUUU